AGGGGAGUAGCUCAACGGUAGAGUAGUGGUCUCCAAAACCAUUGGUUGCGUGUUCGAAUCGCGUCUCCCCUGCCA
rnacentral:tRNA from 2 species